rnacentral:lncRNA from 1 species
UGGAUAAUUAUUUUAAUUUACAAGAUAUACAAAGUAACGAAUGGCUAUCUUUGUGUGUUGUUUAAACAUUACGUUAUAGACGUCAUCCAUUUUAGUUUUAUGUUGGAUUUGGUACAAACGAAACUGGAUACAUACUUGUGGGGGCCUAUAAUGUAGUUUCAAUAGUUGGGUGGCUUAAUGAAAAAGCUAAAAACUUGGGUAGGCACGUCAUACAUUAUCCCUGAAUAAAAUAUAACCCGUUACUUAAAUCAAUGCGUUUUCAUGUACUUAACAAAGGGAAUUCACACAUACUAGAAAACAACAAUAGCCUACCUUUCGAACAAUAGGUUGGCCUAAAGAAAUUGGCUCAACAGUAACUGAACCAUUCAGUGCCUCCUCCAACAAAGUGGCAGAUACGGUAGUUUUUAUGGGCACCCCAAGUUUGCUGCAAUAAUAUAUGCAUUUUAUAGAAAUACUAACUUCAAAUAGACAGUUGCAAGCUAAGCAAGGCGGCAAGAUGGAUGGGCUGGGUAAUUGGUCAACUCUGAUAAUUCUUAAUAUGGGUCAAACUGGAACGGGUUGGUCGGCAACCAUUUUUUUUGUCUGUUUAAAUAUAUUGAUAAAUAUAGAAUGUGUCCGUUGCUAUCAUAAGAAGUGUAUAACUACAACAAUGGGUGUUUGGGGUUGCUUUUAAAAUUGCUUAUUCGCUUAUUAUAGUCUUUGGGUGACUUUUGACCUAUUUGGACAGUCUACCUUUCAGCUAAUUUUUUAUUCAGCACCCCAUUCAUAAGUAAUUGGGCUAUAAAGACCACCGCUAAAAGGAAGAAACAAUUUAUUUUAAGAGUGUUUUGAUGUAACAAAAAACCUGAAAAUUGCAGCGAACAUGGUAUUCAUAGCACCCAAACUUGAAAGAUCUAGCUCCAAAUCUUGACCGUCUUUUUCAACAGCCUGCACCGAUGACAAAUGUGUCAACAAAAGCUAAGAAAAUAAAAAAAUUGUAAAGAUUUAUUUUAUAAAAUAUCAUUGGUUAUGGUGAAUUCAACCUCAAAACCAGCAGUGUCAUAUUGAUGCCUUUUAUCUGGAUCAGAUAAUAUAUUAUAGGAAAAAGUUAUUUCGGUAAACAUAUCACUCGCUUUAGGGUCAUUUGCAUUCUUGUCAGGAUGGUACUUCAGAGCCAAUUUACGGUAAGCACUUUUAAUCUCCUGAUCUGUAGAGUUACGAGCAACACCGAGAACCUCGUACGGAUCUCUUAGAGACGGUUUUUCCGCAUCUUUCUUCUCCGAUUUCGACUUAUUCACCGGCAUAUUUCGAUAAUUUCAAACUAUCGAAACCUCGAAGCCAACAAAAACCUAAAACAUCCAACAAAACACUCACGGAGGUUGCGUGUAAAGAGGUUUUGUGAAAAUGGAGGUGAGUGGUUACUGGAAUUUGUUGAUGUUUGAAGAUGAGGUUCAGAUUGUUUGUUUGUUGUCAACUUGUGACGGAGAAGAAGAAGAAGAAGAUGCUGCGUACAGUUAGAAA